rnacentral:rRNA from 1 species
CUUGAACAGGUGCUGCAUGGCUGUCGUCAGCUCGUGUCGUGAGAUGUUCGGUUAAGUCCGCUAACGAGCGCAACCCUCGCUGUGUGUUACAAGUGUCACACGGAACUGCCGGGUCAUAAACCGGAGGAAGGUGGGGAUGACGUCAAGUCAGCAUGGCCUUUAUAUCCUGGGCUACACACACGCUACAAUGGGAAGGGACAAUAGGUUGCGAAGCCGCGAGGCGGAGCCAAUCCAGCAAAACUUCCCUCAGUUCAGAUUGCAGGCUGCAACUCGCCUGCAUGAAGUUGGAGUUGCUAGUAAACGCAGGUCAGCCAUACUGCGUUGAAUACGUUCCCGGGGCUU